CCCUUAGAUGUCCUGGGCCGCACGCGCGCUACACUGAGUGUCUGAGAUACGAGUCUGCCUGGUCCGGCAAGGUCUAGGUAAUCGCUAAAAGACACAUCAUGCUUGGGAUAGAUUAUUGCAAAUAUUAAUCUUGAACGAGGAAUUCCUAGUAAGCGCAAGUCAACAGCUUGCGUUGAUUACGUCCCUGCCCUUUGUACACACCGCCCGUCGCUACUACUGAUUGGAUGUUUAAGCGAGGUUCUCGAACUGCAAGCGACUUAGCUUCGGUGAGGUCGCAGUGUGGGAAGUGAACCUAGCUUUGGUGUCUAGAGGAAGUAAAAGUCGUAACA
rnacentral:rRNA from 1 species